rnacentral:misc_RNA from 1 species
UUAACUAUUAUAUAGUACUCAGACGACACUAACAUUCAGAGUUUGGGGUCCUCUGGCAGGCACGCACCAGCCGAAGCCGGUAGCCGGGACGAGCCCGGCGGCCUGCCAAAGCAACAAAGGUAUAAAUACACAAGGGUGGGAGGUCUACCCCGAAGGGCAUGAACUCUGUAAUGAUCCUUCCGCAGGUUCACCUACGGAAA